UAGGGAAUCUUCCACAAUGGACGGAAAGUCUGAUGGAGCAACGCCGCGUGAGUGAAGAAGGGUUUCGGCUCGUAAAACUCUGUUGUUAAAGAAGAACAUAUCUGAGAGUAACUGUUCAGGUAUUGACGGUAUUUAACCAGAAAGCCACGGCUAACUACGUGCCAA
rnacentral:rRNA from 1 species